AACGGUCUAUACCUGCGGUACCUGCGGAGGGAUCAUUAAUGAGAAACUGCCCCUCGCGGGUAGAUCUCCCACCCUUUGUAAACUUACCUUUGUUGCUUUGGCAGGCCCGUCUCCGGACCGCCGGCUUCGGCUGGCCAGUGCCUGCCAGAGGAUUCUAAAACUCUGUCUGUCAGUGUUGUCUGAGUCUAUAUACAAUCGUUAAAACUUUCAACAACGGAUCUCUAGAUCGGAAGAGCACAC
rnacentral:misc_RNA from 1 species